GGGUUGUGAGGUUAAGCGACUAAGCGUACACGGUGGAUGCCCUGGCAGUCAGAGGCGAUGAAGGGCGUGCUAAUCUGCGAUAAGCGCCGGUAAGGUGAUAUGAACCGUUAUAACCGGCGAUACCCGAAUGGGGAAACCCAGUGUGACUCAUCACACUAUCAUUAACUGAAUCCAUAGGUUAAUGAGGCGAACCGGGGGAACUGAAACAUCUAAGUACCCCGAGGAAAAGAAAUCAACCGAGAUUCCCCCAGUAGCGGCGAGCGAACGGGGAGGAGCCCAGAGCCUGAAUCAGCAUGUGUGUUAGUGGAAGCGUCUGGAAAGGCGCGCGAUACAGGGUGACAGCCCCGUACACAAAAGCGCAUAUGCUGUGAGCUCGAUGAGUAGGGCGGGACACGUGGUAUCCUGUCUGAAUAUGGGGGGACCAUCCUCCAAGGCUAAAUACUCCUGACUGACCGAUAGUGAACCAGUACCGUGAGGGAAAGGCGAAAAGAACCCCGGCGAGGGGAGUGAAAAAGAACCUGAAACCGUGUACGUACAAGCAGUGGGAGCCCCACCACUAAGCCAGUGGUGAACUCCACAUACGCAUCCUUUGCUGAGGAUACGGUUAACGGAGCGAAAGCGACGUUCAACCGCAAAAGAAGCAGAGGGGGCUUAGUGGUGGGGUGACUGCGUACCUUUUGUAUAAUGGGUCAGCGACUUAUAUUCUGUAGCAAGGUUAACCG
rnacentral:rRNA from 2 species